rnacentral:ncRNA from 1 species
CCGGUCGAGGAGCGCUGCAACGGGUAUAUCCCGCGAGGCUCGGCCGGGAAGGAUCGUCACAACUGCGCUCGUCCAUU